UACGUAGGGUGCGAGCGUUAAUCGGAAUUACUGGGCGUAAAGCGUGCGCAGGCUGUUUUGUAAGUCAGAUGUGAAAUCCCCGAGCUCAACUUGGGAACUGCGUUUGAAACUACAAGACUAGAAUAUGUCAGAGGGGGGUAGAAUUCCACGUGUAGCAGUGAAAUGCGUAGAGAUGUGGAGGAAUACCAAUGGCGAAGGCAGCCCCCCGGGAUAAUAUUGACGCUCAUGCACGAAAGCGUGGGGAGCAAACAGG
rnacentral:rRNA from 1 species